GUGAAGUUCUGUCCUCAGUUCUGUCCUCAGAUACUGGAGUUGUGGGGUUGUAAUCUAACAGAGAAAAGUUGUGAAGUUCUGUCCUCAGUUCUCAGUUUAAACUCCUCCAGUCUGAAACAUCUGAGCCUGAGUAACAAUGACCUAAAGGAUUCAGGAGUGAAGCUGCUCUCUGCUGGACUGGGGAAUCCACACUGUAAACUGAAGAUACUGAAGUUGAGGACCUGCAGUAUUACAGAUGACGGUUUUACUGCUCUGGCUUCAGCUCUGAAAUCAAAUUCAUCAUCACGUCUGACAGAACUGAAUCUGAACGGCAAUGAUCCAGGAGAAUCAGGAGUAAAACUGCUCAAAGAUCUAUGGGUGGAUCCACAAUGUAACCUAAAGGAACUAUAAGUCAUAGAGCCAUCAUAGAGUCCAUCGUCACCACAUCCAUCACAGUGUGGGGCAGCGCUAUCACAAAACAUGACACCAAGAGACUGCAGCGCAUCAUCAAGUCUGCAGAGAGGACCAUCGGUGUAAAGCUGCCCACACUGCUGGACCUGCAUGCCUCCAGAACCAGGAAGCGUGCAGAGAAAAUCAUCACUGACCCGUUUCACCCUGGUCAUCACCUGUUUCGGUGCCUUCCAUCAGGCCGACGCUUCAGCCACAUGAAGACCCGAACGACCAGGCUACAGAGAAGCUUUUAUCCAAACUCCAUUACGCUCAUGAACAAUUGAACACUACUGUACUGUUAAUACUCGGGACACUUGCACAUCAAAAACUACCUAUUUCAUUUAUGUAAUGGCAUACACAGGAUUUUCACCUUUACUUCCAUUUCAUAUUUAUAUAUUUUUAUAUUUUCUAUAGUUUUU